AACGAACGCUGGCGGCAUGCCUAACACGUGCAAGUCGAACGAGACCUUCGGGUCUAGUGGCGCACAGGUGCGUAACGCGUGGGAACCUGCCCUUAGGUUCGGAAUAACUCCCCGAAAGGGGUGCUAAUACCGGAUAAUGUCUUCGGACCAAAGAUUUAUCGCCUUUGGAUGGGCCCGCGUUGGAUUAGCUAGUUGGUAGGGUAAAAGCCUACCAAGGCGACGAUCCAUAGCUGGUCUGAGAGGAUGAUCAGCCACACUGGGACUGAGACACGGCCCAGACUCCUACGGGAGGCAGCAGUGGGGAAUAUUGGACAAUGGGCGAAAGCCUGAUCCAGCAAUGCCGCGUGAGUGAUGAAGGCCUUAGGGUUGUAAAGCUCUUUUACCCGGGAUGAUAAUGACAGUACCGGGAGAAUAAGCUCCGGCUAACUCCGUG
rnacentral:rRNA from 1 species